rnacentral:tRNA from 1 species
GCCCAGAUAGCUCAGUAGGUAGAGCAUCAGACUUUUAAUCUGAGGGGCCAGGGUUCAAGUUCCUUCUUGGGUG